rnacentral:lncRNA from 1 species
AAGGCAUUUAACAAAGUGCAGAAUUCUAGUGUUAGGUCAGAGAAAAAAAGAAGUGACCCGAAGUAUUUUCUAAGAAAAUUAUGGACAACUUAUUGUAAAUAGAAGCUCUUAAAAGUAACAUUGUCAUAUAACAGACUAUGAAUACUACUCAAAGAGGGCUAUUAGAUAUUUAGACCCCAUACUUCAGAGGAAAAAUGUCACAGAAUGUUUUGAUGACUGGUAGGAGAUAUGAGAAGACUACUUAUACACCUGAAGUAAGAUCUAGAAAAGUAAGUCCACGUAGAGAUGGAGAGCAAGUCAAGGACCAUGUUUCUUGUCCUCUGAGCCUCAAAUUAAAAGACAACUCCUAACCAGUACCAUAAUCUCCAGUACUUACCAACCAAAAGAUGUGUCUGAAAUGUGCUUUCCAUCAGAACAGAAUUCAGAAAUUUGGAUCUCAUUAGAGCCUCUUGGAUGGAGGAGACAGAUUCCCUCAAGUCUGGGUGUUAUUUCCAGAGGAAUGAUGAAGGAGAAAUCUAGCAAAAUAAAAACAGAUCUCAUACACAGCUAUAGGGUUUCCUCGGAGAUUUCACCCUGGAAUCCAAAGGAUUUGAAGAAGCUGAACUUCUCCCACUUCUUUGAUGCUCAUCAAAAAUCUUGUCUUUUAAAGCAGUCAAGGAAAUAAAUAUUCCUACCCACUCUCCCAAAUGUGUUUCCUUUAGGGAAGACUCUUAAUGAAACCCAGGCUACAUUUAAAGCCACAGUAGCAAAAUAUUUUAUUUUAAAAGAAAGUUAUAUUAAAUACAUUUAGAUAAAAUUAUGUGGCUAAGACAGAGGACAAGAGGCAUGAAAGUUGUCUUUAAUAUUAAAGUGCUACCACAUGGAAACAGGAUUAAAACAAUUCUGAGCUGCUUCUCAGAGAAUAAAUUAACCAGUGGGUGAGAUGGGCAUAGCCUAUACAAGGAAGAUGUUUUCUAACAAUUAGGCUUGUUCCUGACCCAAGCAGUUGCUAAUUUACUGCAUAUUUUCUAGAGAAAUGCACAGGGAAGAAAUUGAAUUGGAUGGUCUCUAAGCUUGCUUUAGAUCUGAGAUCCUGGUGAUUAAGCCUUUAGUGAGCCAAAAGGAGUCUUAAAUUUCUUCUACAGAACCAUAUGAUAUAGCACAGCUCCUGGUAUUUUAUUAAUAUUUACCAUCUGAUGUAUAGAUUGUUAAGCCAAAACUUAGAUAAAAAAAAUUAUAUUAUGUUAUCCCCUUAUAAAAUUGGCUCUUUUGAUAGAGCUAAUCUCAGUUUUAGUUUAUGUUGCUGACUUGUUUCAUUCUAUUUUCUUCUGAAAGCAAAAAGGAGAAGAUACCGCUGAGUAUACAGCCAGAAAACCCCUCACAAGAGAGAGAACAAGAAAUCUCUCCAACAGAAGCAUCUUCAAAUACAUGAAAAUGAGCACAUCCAAAGAAGUGACCAGUGUCCUGUGAUGUCUUUUGAUAAGACAAGUUGGAACUACUCUGUACGUUCACUCAGUAUUCAGAUCAGGGCUGCACCUGCCUGCAUAUGGAAAUUCCCAGGCGAGGAGCAGAAUCGGACCUACAGCUGCCAGCCUACGCCACAGGCACAGCAAUGCAGGAUCCGAGCAGUGUCGGUGACCUACACUGCAGCUCAUGGCUAUAUUAGAUCCCUGACCCACUGAGGGAGGCCAGGAAUCAGACCUGCAUAUUCAUGGAUCCUAGUCAGGUUCAUUUCCACUAUACCGCAGCAGGAACUCCAGAUUUCCUCUCUUUGGUGUUUGGUACCAUGUGAAUAAAACAGUAUAAAAAUAAUGGUUUUGAACUGUGUAUCAAACAAAAUAGUUUUAUAUAUUAAGUCAGAAUCCAAAAUAAAAUCUUAUUAUUCCAGUAGUAUAAAGUGAUGUGACCUAUAAAAAAUAUUGAUAGAUAAGUAAAUCAUAUCUUUAGCAGUAGAUGAAUAGGGUCAAGGAAAGAGGGCAUUCACCAGUUGCUCUUUGUCCAAAUGCUCAUUUCUCUAGUUGGUACUGGAAAAAACGAGAUUUUGUUUACAAAUUUUAAGAACACAUGGGGAAAAACAUGAGAAUUUGGAAUUUCUAGCUGAACCCUAAUUUUUAGGCCUUUGUCAUUGUUUAUUCUUGGCAAAAAUCAAUCUUAGUUUAGAAAUAAAAAGGUUUUAAUGAGCUAUUAAAAAUCUCCUUGAACGUCGGAGAGCUCUUAAAGUAAACAUUUUCACAAUUUAAAUAUGAAUAAAUGAAACCAUGUGGGUAACUUUCCUUUAAAAUAUACACGCAUUUAGAAAUUAAGGAAAAGUAUACACAGAAAACAUUGUGGGUUUUCAUCACACUCUACAUUAAGUGGUCAAUAAUGCCAUAACAUGUCUAUGAUUCAUUUAAAAUUUAAAUAUAUCUGAAACAGAAAAACAGUCACAAGAUUAGAAUAAAAAAUUUUUUACCUUAAGACAAAUCAUCAAAAUCUUUAGUGUCACCAAAAAUUAGUAAUUUUCUGACUGUACAUGGCAGUAUACUAUAAAGUGCUACUUAGAUCCAGUCUCUGCUUUCUGGGAGUUUAUAUUAAUUCAUACAUAUUAUGAGAUAAGCUCUUUUAUUCUUUCUAAAAAAGAAACUUAAUAGAUAAUAAAAUGUUUAGAGCAUGUACACUGUACCACAAAGUGUGUUGUGCUUUUCAAGACUGCAUACUUGAGAAGAAUCACAGAUACCAAGGCAAAAUCUGUAAUGAGACAGAGAGAUGGAUGGGGAGUUGAGAGCUUUUUUCUGUCACAUCUGAAAGGAAAUUUAAUUCUUACAUGAGAUUUAUUUUUAAAUGGUAACAAGAUGGUGGCUUGUCAAGCUAGAGUUUGGAGGGACAUUCUAAGUGCCUGAUGCUGCUAAUCAAGUCAAUUCAGUGCCCUGGCUAUUUUACUGUGCUACCAGCAAACUAUCCCUAUAAUGGGAAUUACUAGGAACUCUGUUUCCAGGAGGCAUCUAAUGGAGCACUGAAUCUUGGAAAGAAACAGAGAAUCAACUGCAUUUUUUUCCACUCAAGUCAUUUAAUAUUUUCCAAAUUGAUAUGAGAGACAGAAAAGAUAUGAAGAGGUUUCUAAAUGGCAGGAACUAUGUCUCAGGUAAACUCAGUAAAGCUCACAUAUACAUGUAGCUAACUAUAGUAAAUAUACAUAUUUAUCCACACUUCCCAGUCAGUGUUUUCUUCUUAGUUACUGAUGCAGGUUUACAGGACUAUUCUGUUGACUGUUUUUUCUCUCAUCAGGAAUCAUGUUCAUAAAUUGAUGUUAGAUUGUGAUGCCAGAGUGCCUUCUGUGUGAGCCAUUUCUUCAUAGCCAUUGCCUUAAUUCUUCUUUAGUACAUGCUUCUUGGCACUUGAUGACUCAAUUCAAAACUCAGUACCUCAGUUUUUUCAUACAUCAUGAGGAGUUUCCUUAUACUGUACAUGUAUGUACAUCAAUUAAAUUGAGAAAGCAUAUUUGUUUUUUGACAUUCCAGUCUCAGUACAACAAGCUUCCCAUUUUUCCUGCAUUUAUCUAAAUGGUAUGAUCUGUCCAGGACUAAGUAUUCUAAUUAUAAUGAGUUUAUAGUGUCAUUUGAAGUCCCUAUGGCUCAUUCACAAUUCUUAGCAAUGAAACAAUAUGAAGUUAAAAAAAAAAAAAGGAAUCUCAUUUAAUUCAUAUUAUUUCCCAGAAGGCAUCACUCAUAGUUGGCUCAGUGCUGGUUUUUGGAAAUGAAAGUGAUACCCAUGACCUCUAAUUCUGAGUUAAAUAGUUUCUUCCCCAAAGAAACCUCUCAACUCAGUAUGAGCACCUGUUAAUUGCACUAAAUUCUAAAGAGGAUAGGACAAAUGAGAUAAGCUGACUUUGGUACACAGCCUUUCUUGCCAUCUUCAUCAGAGUAUAUUUAAUAGCAGGCAACCUGCUCAAGCAGUUUUGAGGGUAUUUUCUACAAGCUCACGUGGGGGUAUUUCAUGAAACCCUAAAGAAAGAAGCACAACUGGGCUUUCUUAGGAUAACAUAGGCUUGCUGGAAAGUCAUCAGGAGCUGAGGAAUUUACUUUUGAGUUAGUGCAGGAUUUUAUAAGUGGUUAAGUGUACAGAAUCUAGAACCAGCCUUCAUGAGUUCAAGUUUCAGUCCCUCCAUUUGCUUGUGGUAUAUAUAUAUUUUAAUUUUUUUUAAAAUUGUAGUUGAUUUGGAGUUCCCGUUGUGGCGCAGUGGUUAACGAAUCCGACUAGGAACCAUGAGGUUGCGGGUUCGAUCCCUGCCCUUGCUCAGUGGGUUAAUGAUCCGGCGUUGCCGUGAGCUGUGGUGUAGGUCGCAGACGUGGCUUGGAUCCCGCGUUGCUGUGGCUCUGGCGAAGGCUGGCAGCUACUGCUUCGAUUAGACCCCUAGCCUGGAAACCUCAAUAUGCUGUGGGAGCCGCCCAAGAAAUGGCAAAAUGACGAAAAAAAAAAAAAUCGUAGUUGAUUUACAAUGUUGUGAUAAUUUUUGCUGUAGAACACAGUGAUCCAGGUAUACAUAUAUAUGUAUACAUUCUCUUCUUCAUAUUGUCUUCCAUCAUGUCUAUCCCAAGAAAUUGGAUAUAGUUCCCUGUGUUAUGCAGUAUAGUCCUAAUUGCUUAUCUAUUCUAAAUGAAAUAGUUUGCAUCUUUGAAACAUAUCUCUCACUUUCUCUUAUUUCCUUAGCUAUAAAGUAGGGAUAAUAAUAAUUCUUGUUAUAGAGAAUUGUUGCAGAAGUUAAGCAAUAUAUAAUAUUUCUAGAACCUUGCACAUAUAAAUGCAUUCAGUACCAGGUAAUCACACUAAUAACAUAUUUAUUGGCAAUGUGACCUUUAUUUUAUUACCUAUGGGCAAUUAUCCCUUCAUUACUGUAGAGAAAGCUAUCUCUGAACAUAAAAUAUUAAUAAACUGAUUCAGUCAAAAAAAGAGUGGCACAUUGAGCAACUAGGUAAAUUAACAGGGUAAUAUUGAACAAAAUAGCAUAUGGUAAAAAAUAUUCAUGAAAUAGAUUCAUUUAAGAUCAUACUUAUUCAAAUUGGUGGCUUAUUUUAUGUUGCACAAAAAUUGUAUAUGAAGUCUGUGUUUCUAUGACUUUAGUAUGUGUCAGCUACAGUUCAGCAAGAUAUUCUUUAUCCACUUUAAAAUAUAAAAAUGGUUAUGCCAAAUAAAAACUUAUUAAGUACAAUAAUAAUAUUUGCUAAGGAGAAAAAAUUCUAAUAUUGAGAAAUUCAUUGAUUUUAUGUAUGUAUGUAUGUAUGUAUGUGUUUUCAUCUGCAUGUACUGCCUUAUCUAAUCACCUAAAUUUCAUAUUGGAAAACUAAAGUAGCUUGGGGGGGGUGUACUCUGAAAAAGAACAUAAAGGCAAACAACAUUAGCAGAUAUGAAAAUAAAAUGCUUAAGUAA